GACCGCAGUGCACCACAGAUUGAAAAACCCAAAGGAGCUAACAGAGAUGGAGUUAAUCCAGCUGUCAAUAAAGGUGGCUCUCAGCAGCCUCUGGGAGGUUUAUUUGCUGGUGGCUUUCCUGUUCUCAGACCAGCAGGCCAGAGGGACAUGACAGCAGGGAGGCCUGGGCAGGUUUCCGGAGUCCGAGCAGCGGCCCCCAAACACUCCGCCCCAGCGAACAGCGGCGCUGCCAAGCCGAGCAGUAACCCCUCGCACCCAGCCGAAGGUCCAAGGGCAGCUGUGCCACCAGAGCCUCCCAGCACCUCCCGAGCCGGAGCGGGAGC
rnacentral:lncRNA from 1 species